AGAGUUUGAUUAUGGCUCAGAUUGAACGCUGGCGGCAUGCCUUACACAUGCAAGUCGAACGGCAGCGGACCUUCGGGUGCCGGCGAGUGGCGAACGGGUGAGUAAAGUAUCGGAACGUACCUUUCAGUGGGGGAUAACGUAGCGAAAGUUACGCUAAUACCGCAUAUUCUGUGAGCAGGAAAGCAGGGGAUCGCAAGACCUUGCGCUGAUUGAGCGGCCGAUAUCAGAUUAGCUAGCUGGUGGGGUAAAGGCCUACCAAGGCGACGAUCUGUAGCGGGUCUGAGAGGAUGAUCCGCCACACUGGGACUGAGACACGGCCCAGACUCCUACGGGAGGCAGCAGUGGGGAAUUUUGGACAAUGGGCGCAAGCCUGAUCCAGCCAUGCCGCGUGAGUGAAGAAGGCCUUCGGGUUGUAAAGCUCUUUCGGCCGGGAAGAAAUCGCAUGGGCUAAUACCCUGUGUGGAUGACGGUACCGGAAUAAGAAGCACCGGCUAACUACGUGCCAGCAGCCGCGGUAAUACGUAGGGUGCGAGCGUUAAUCGGAAUUACUGGGCGUAAAGCGU
rnacentral:rRNA from 1 species